CGUUGGAAGAUUGAGAGGGGUUGCUCCUAGUACGAGAGGACCGGAGUGAACGCACCACUGGUGUUCGGGUUGUCAUGCCAAUGGCAUUGCCCGGUAGCUAAGUGCGGAAAAGAUAAGCGCUGAAAGCAUCUAAGCGCGAAACUUGCCUCAAGAUGAGUCUUCCCUGGGCCUUCAAGGCCCCUGAAGGAACGUUUAAGACUAAGACGUUGAUAGGCUGGGUGUGUAAGUGCAGCGAUGCAUUGAGCUAACCAGUACUAAUGAUCCGUGAGGCUUAACCU
rnacentral:rRNA from 1 species